UUUGGCUGCGUUAUAUAGCGAGUGA
rnacentral:piRNA from 1 species